rnacentral:tRNA from 1 species
GCGAUUGUAGUCUAGCGGUAGGACAGUGGCUUCCCAAGCCUCUAACUCGGGUUCGAUCCCCGGCAAUCGCA